GCCAGGUGUGGUGGUGCAAUCCUGUAAUCCCAGCAGCUCAGGAGGCUGAGGCAGGAGGAUCACAGGUUCAAAGCCAGCCUUAGCAAAAGCGAGGCACUAACCAACUCAGUGAGACCCUAUCUCUA
rnacentral:sRNA from 1 species